UACGGAGGGUGCAAGCGUUAAUCGGAAUUACUGGGCGUAAAGCGUGCGCAGGCGGUUUGUUAAGUCUGUUGUGAAAUCCCCGAGCUCAACUUGCGAAUUGCAAUGGAUACUGGCAGGCUGGAGUAUGGUAGAGGAAGGUGGAAUUCCCGGUGUAGCAGUGAAAUGCGUAGAGAUCGGGAGGAACACCAGUGGCGAAGGCGGCCUUCUGGACCAAUACUGACGCUCAUGCACGAAAGCGUGGGGAGCAAACAGG
rnacentral:rRNA from 1 species